AGUCCCUUAGAACAGAUCUCAGAGGUCCUUCAGUUCAAUCAUCCCCCAGGAUUGGGCAAGUGGAAAAGACUGAAUGGAGUGGCACAGAACACCGGGCUACACAGAGUCAUGGGGUGUCUGGGCUGGGACAGCCUCAGAAAUCACCUAGCCCAGCAUUUCUACAAAUGCCUUGUGAUGACUGGUGGUUCCGCACAUUUCUUCAUGGGGGAAAUAAAAGUUUCCCUGGGCAAAGAUAGAGUGAGAAAUGUUGUCCACUUUCACCCCUCUUGGAGAUUUGCUUCACUGGUGAGUAUAUUUAACAUCCUGAGAAGUCCCGAAAUCAAUAAGGAACCCCUCUCCCCAUUAAAGGUUUGUUUACCCCAGUUUCCCAGCAUAUUCGACCCCUUUUUAUUAAACUUAUUAAACUUAUUUAUUAAACUUAAAAUUAUUUUGGGACAUAUUUUAAGAACCUCAAAUAUAAUUCAAUCUUUACAGCUUACUAACAAGGAAACUGAGUUUGAGAGAAAAGUGGGCAUCUAUGCAAGUUCGCCCAGCUAAUCAGUGAGAGAGCCAGCGCCGGGACCCAGGCUUCCCACAGUGGCAACAUGGCUCUGUCCACUCCCCCAACUGAAUCUGAGGACCUUCAGGAUGCGACAGCCUGCCCAUGGAGAAAUUGCUCUCUCUGGUUACCUCUUUAGGAGGUAAAAGCAAAGACAAAGGUGGCAGGUAAGCUGGAGAGGUGUCAUCUUGUGACUAGUCUGCUUUGACAUCUUUCUUCUGAGAUUCCACAACUGCUAUCAAGAUCUGUCAGCACCCAGAACACUUCAACAUCUUCAGCAACAUCUUCAGCAACCAGAAUUUCAUGCAUCUACUUCUACAUUUGCAAAGGGAAAGCAUUUGAGCUGAGAUGUCAAGGACAAGUGGAGUUGACUCAGCAAGGGAAGAGGAGGAAUGAGGAAGAGAUUUCCAGGAAGACAUAAAGGCACAUUCGAAGGCUGGGAGGUGAGCAGGCUCCUUACCCCGUUCACUGAGAAGAAUUGGCCGCACUCGGAUAUGAUAGUUCAGACGCUUGCCUGCACGUCAGAAUCACCUGGGGAGAACUAAAGACCCACCAGACAGUCUGAUUUAACUGGCCUGAGUGUUUAGUGGGCCCAACGCUAUUUCACAAGCUGAGGUGAUUCCAAUGUGCCGUCAGGGCUGAGAAUCACUACCCUGACAUUCCCAACUCUCUACGG